GCAAUGGUUUUGAGAGGAAUCCUUUUACAUAUUUGUUGAAGUUUUCGCUCGAAUUUGUGGUCGAAUACUGUAGAAGGAAGCCUGCACGAAGUUUUG
ensembl:miRNA mir-258.1 miscRNA